GCUGGGCAUGGUGGUGCGUGCCUGUAAUCCCAGCUACUCAGGAGGCUGAGGCAGGAGAAUUGCUUGAACCCGGGAGGCAGAGGUUGCAGUGAGCCAAGAUCACGCCACUGCACUCUAGCCUGGGCCAUAGAGCGAGACUCCGUCUCAA
rnacentral:SRP_RNA from 1 species